ACCAAAUGAGGGACAUUUCAAGUCAAUACCAAACAAUCUACAGGAUGUAAUUGUACCACAUUUUCUCUCAUCAUCUAGACUAGGAAGCAGGAGAUCGUUCUGCUUUCCGAAUUGUGAGGACGCAAAGCUUGGAAAAGCAGGCCGAGGUGAAGCACUUUUACUGGCUUCUGUCUCAUCCAAAAGCAUAUUCAAAGAAGCGUUUACUUUAGAAGCUGACCAAAUUCCAUCGACACGAGCCUUAAAAG
rnacentral:misc_RNA from 1 species